UAGAGCACGACGGUGGCAGCUUUCAGUGAGCGGCGCAACUUCCUUCCUCCCUGCUCUUUCUCCCUCGCUCUCGUGACCUCCAUACAUCUGGAGAUGGAGACAACGACGCGGCUCCGACGAGGUGAUGUUGCAGUAGGAUAGGGUCCCGUCGAGCUCUCGGGUUCAGAUCUCGUCAUUGUUGCAAUGGUUCUAUCUAGACGUUGCAGUAGGUUUUAGUCGUUGUUGCAGUUUUGUGUUUUGAGAUGUUGUUUCAGUUGCUUCAGUCUGCAUGUUGUAGUAGUUUGUUUUAUGUUGUUACAACAUUUGUUCGGUGUUGUUGUAGUACUAUGUCCAUGGUGUUUUAGUUGCUUCAUCCGAUGCUUUAAUCUGCACUGUUGUAUUAGUUGUUGCAUAUUGUUGCAACAGUUGGUCGAUGUUGUUGUAA